ACAGCAAUUUGCAGUGAUUUCAAUAUCUGCUUCAGCAGAAUAUUUCAACAAUAACACAAAUCUGUGGCAAAAGUUAGUACUUGAAAAAGUUCUUGUACCUUAUAAAGGUGCUACUUAUGAAUGCAAUAAGUGACAUAAAUAUGCCAAUGAAUCUGACUUGUCUGUAUAGGUGACAUACCCACUUGUAAAAUACAUCAGAAAUAAAGCCCAGGUGCUUUGUGAAGAUGAGGUAAGUUCUUUAGUGAGGUCUUUGAUAAAACUUUAUUUUUUUAAUUAUAAGAGGUGAAAAUUAGAUAAAUGAUAGCUUUUGCAAUGAAUGAAAUAAUUUAAUUCCAAAUACAAUAACCGUAAAUUUUGCAUACCUAAUAAAUGUCUUAUUUCUAUAUUCAGGCAUGAUCAUUAAAUUUUUAACAAGCUUACUACUGAAUUCAUUAAUUCCAGAAAUAUCGUUACUGAUGUGUCCCUUGGCUAAAGCAGGCAUCCAUCUACACCUUAAAAAUAUUUUUGUUAAUUUACAAAAAACAGUAACUUUAUCUAUUUCUCCCUAUUACUGUGAUAAAAUGUUGAUAAAUUUAAGUAGCCUGUGUUUGCUAAGCAUUUUUUGGUUUUGUUUUUUUCAAUAUAAAAGAAAAAAUCUCAAUUGAAUGUGCAAUGGAAGCAAGUGUUUUUCCAGUUCAGCAGUUUCUGCUGAAUUGUAAACAAUCAGGUUGUUUCAAAAGGAGAGUAGCAUGGUCCAUAACUCUGACAGCUAGUAGUAGUUUAGUUUACUGCUUCUACCACCUGCCUUCUGACUUAAUAUUGGAAGCAAGAAGCAUGCAAUUAAGUAUGAGGAAAUGAAAAUAAAUGACACUGUUCAUUGCACAAUACAAAGUGCCUGGCAGAAAGAAUGCAGCUUGCCUGGACCUGAUAACCCCAGGGGAAAACAUGUCUCGUGCCUGGGAAAGCACCAGCAAAUCAGACCCUGACCCUGGCUUUAUCCACUAUCAAAUGCAUUGGUUUCCUUCUUAACAAUUUGAAACUUUUUUUUUAAUUAUAACUGAGUUCUGAAAAGCAGAGAAAUAUAAAAUGGAACAUGUACUGAGUGUGUGGUAGAAGAUACAGGAUACCAAAAAUGCAGGAGUAUUUUCUUUAUCAUUUCUUGAGGAAAGUUAUUUGCAUUACAUCCUUAAUUGGGCUAAUUUGAACUGGUUAUUAAAUUCUAAGGCUUCUAGAGGUGAAGAGGGUUUUGAAAGAAAAAUUCCAUCUAGGCAGCAAUAUUGAAUUCAAUGCAAUUAUUAUAACUUACUAUUAUAACUCAAACCCUCCCCUCAUUCCAGAGUCUGAUUAAAACCCCUUUCAUUUUAAAAUGCCUGUUUUGUGAAUGCUAUACCCUUUUACCUAUAUAUGGCUCAUACAGUGGUUAGAACAUAAAAGCAAUAAUUGUUUUUAAAUAAUUUUUCCUAAAUUAUCUAAGCAUCUUUACAGAGGUAAGUAAAUGCUAUCCUGACAUUACAGAAUAGGAAGAAACUGCACCGCAGAGGAAUCUGAUGGCUUGCUCAGAACACAUAACACAUCAAAGAGUAGUUCAAAGUGAGACAAGCAGUUCUGCAACAAAAUAAAGAUUUUGACAUAAAUCAAGUUAUUUUGCUACAGAAGUCAAAUUUGUCUUAUUUUAGAUGAAUGUAGGUGCAUUACAGAUUAAUUAAAACAUUAGAGAUUACUGUAAAUCAUUAAUUCAGCACUACCGUCUGAUUUAGUUGGCCAGGUAUAAAUAGUGGUGAAACUUUCAUAAUGAAAGCAGAAGCAAGUAGAGAUUUUCAUGUGUUCAUGAUCUGGUACAAAACUAGAACUCAGAUGAGAUAUGCCAAAAUUUGUAAACUUUUCAGUGAAGCUAAAUAGCCAGAGAAUAUUAUAGGACAGAUAAUUUCAGUUAGAAAUGCUGCCAAGACUUGGUGGUUUUUAAUGAUUUCAUCCUGAAGAAAAGAGCAUCUUGGUAGCUUGAUAGGUAUUGUUUUGAGUAUAAUUUUUUUCACCUCAUAACCCAAAGUAAAACUCAAGGGUGCAAACUCAGCAGGAAUUGAAACCUAUUAGGGAGUCACAGACCCUUCAUUCCAAAACCACCAACUUUCACAUUUCUGGCUGUAUGCAAGUACAACAUACUUCUUUUUUUUUUAAUAUACUUCUUUCUUUUUCUUUAAUAUUGUAUGCACACUCUAUAGAAGGAUUUUUCAUAUUUCGACCAGAUUUUAGGUAAGUUCCUCACAUUCUGUGAAAGGUAAUAUUCUUUACUGCACUUCUUCACAGGGCUUUUUAGACCUCAGUAGAAAAAAAAAAAAAAAAAGUAUUUGGAUGUCAGUCAUUGAGUCUCUGCUAGUUAAAAAUCAUGUCUUUCAGAGAUGCUUUCUAUCCACAGUCCUGCACAACAUGAAAUAUGGUUGACAGCUAUAUAACCACACUGCAGAUUGCAAAGCAAUUCACAUUCACACUUCUAAGUGCCUCUCCUUUCAAGACUUAUGGAUGUAUGCCAAAUUACUUGCAUUGUGGUAUAUGGCCUUCUAUAUGUACUUUAUAGAAUAGGUCUCUGGUUUCCAUUAAAAUCAAUGAAGUAGAGACCAAAAGAGGUUUUCUGAAGUGUUUACUAGAUGUCAGACAAGGUUAAUAAUAAAAUACUUCAUGUAUAAUAUGCAUCUUCAAUAUAUUUCAGUGUUUAUCUUUAAGAAGAUAUUUUCUGAAUUUAGGAUGGAAAUUUCCCAGCUAAAUUUAAAUGCUGAGUAGUGUUAAGUUCAACUGUCAUUGUUUGCUCCCCAUUAGUGUCUCUGUAAAAAAUGAAUAUAUGAUUUCAUACCCUAUUUAGGAAGUGCUUCCAAAUGUAAUGGACCAGUAGCCAUUUAAGGAGCCUAAGGUCUUGUGUUAACAAAACUAUCAUGGUUAUCUCAAAUGAAAUGGGAAAGACACAAGAUACCCUCCAAUGCCAUUUCUUCUAGACAAAUUAGUGACUAUGCUAUGUCAUAAAGCCUUAUUCUUUGUCACUAUUUCAUUACAGCAGUUCUUUGUCAGACAAGUUAAAGAGUAUGUUCAGCAGUGGUUGUAUAAUAAUAUAAUGAACUUAUUAAUAAUUAUUAAAUAUUAGUAUGAUUAUUUUCAGGCAUAUUACUACGGUAACUGAGGCAAAAUGGUGGGUUUUAAAAAUAAAUACCUGUGACACACAUUAUAGUGACAAACCAAAUUUUGGGGGAGAGGAGAAAAGAGAGAGAUGCUCUGAAGAUACCCGAGUGAAAUACGGACUCAAAUGAAUUUAGUCAGUGUGAUGAAAAAUUGGCUUAAAGUGGGAGGAAGGGUGUAAAAUUGAGUGUAUGAUGGUGGGGACUACAUUUCACCUUUCUAUUUAUUUAUUUUUUUUUAUUUUUCCAAUUAUAUUAUUAAAGUUUCCCUUAGGACUACAGUGCCUAGAAGAAAGAAGCAAUAUAGUUUUAAAAUUGUCUUGAGAUUUAGAGGGAAAAAAAGAAAUACAUGGAAGUCAUUAUCACCAGCUUUUGUCAGUAAUCCUAAAUCCAUGAGUUUUUUGUUCUUGUUAGAAGGAUGUGUUUUACCACAGUGGGGUAGGUAUAAGUUGAGUUAGUGACCUGUUUUUCCAUAUAACAUUGUAUUUUUGUAGCCCAGAGUUCCACAGAGUUGUGUUCUCGAAAGGAUAAAUGAAUUAUAUGCAGUGUUUUUCACUUGAACUGUACCACAUGUGAAAAUUGUUGGUCUGUACCUCAAAGAUGUUCUGUAAAAUCAUCUACUGUGGUUAGGAAACAUCAGUAUGUCCAUUUAUCAAAAUAACUUGAAAGAAAAUAUAGUGAAAAGGGACCUAAAUGUACUGGAGCAGUUGCACUAGAUAAUUCUCCAUAAGUAAAUUUGAAAGUGAAGCAAACUGAUGCCAUUUAGAAAAAUACUGGCCUAGUUAGUAAAACAGAAAGUUUGCUGGCUAAUUUCAAAAUGUAGAAAAUAAAUUUCUGAAUAUUAAAUUUAGUUUUUAAGAAGUCCUGUACAGGAACACAUUUCCCGUUGUCUCUGAAAAUAACCCAUGGAGGACAGAAGUAGAUUCCAGCAAACAGCGUGAGUACAGUAUGAUCUUUUAUUUGCUAUGCUCAUGUAUGCUUGGCAGUUGCUUUUGGUAGCCCUAACCUCCAUGAGCCUCAUCUAAUCUCUUGCAACAUUUGUGUCAUAGCAAGAAAGUUUGUCCACUGAAGUGGUGGAGUGGAAAAAGAGAAUCUCACAAGUGAGAAGUAUUUAUGCUUCCUUCACCAAGCUGUAAAGAGUCAACCACGGUUACAUAAGCCUUUCCUGCAGGGUUUCAGCAGCUCUAAACAUCGUCAACUAAGGUGACAAAAAUCAACAAAAGUACCCAAAAAGAGGCUGUAAGCAGCAUGAAAACAAAUGAAGGCAGAGAAAUUAAACUUUCAAAAAAAUCUUGCAGCCAUCCUUUAUGUUAAAAUAACUAAAAAUUAGAAAAAUAAAAAAUUAAAGGUGUUCUUAGUGCUUUGCCCAGGCCUUCUUUUGCAUUUCAACCAGAUGCUGGAGAUGAGGAAAAUGUGAACAAAUAGUUGCAUGAAGUGGUUUAGAAUGAACAUUAAUGCAAGAUGCAUUUUUGAGUCUAUAGGAAAUUUCUUUGUAAUGGCAGUGAAUGGAGAAAAAUGAAUUUCAGCUCAGAACUAUUGAUGCUAAAGUUGGAUUCUGUGCAGAUUGCUGGAGAAAACCCUUUCUAGAAAAUAGAGGAAAAUUAUGGCACAACAGUGACUGCCACCUGCUGCAGUUCUGAGUUAAAUGUGGGUGCCAGGAUAUUAUUUCCCAGCUGUUAUUAGCUCCUUGGUGGUUUCUGUAAAUGUGCUCCAAGAGAACUGGUCUGGAGACAGCUAACCAGAUUUUCAGCUGCUGACAAAAAAAGACAUUAUGAGUGUGAGGAAAACAUCAAAUUCUCGCUUUAAGUCCCUGGUGUCCUGUGCAAGGACCUCCUGCCAAAAUAUUUUCAACUAGCUCUUUAAUUUGUCUAUUUUUGUCCUUUACUGUUAGCCCGAAAGACCACAGCAAGUCCAGAACUAUGGUGUAAUAAAAUCCAGUGUUUCUGAAAAAAAUAUUUAAAGAAAGCUUAUAUACUUAUCCAACAGAAACAUUGGAGACAGCUUUUUACAUUUUUGGUUUAGCUUGAAAGCAGAGACCAAAAUCAUAGCCGCUGAUCCAGAGGUGCAAAAUGUAGCAAAGCUAGCAUUCAAAUGUGGCUGGUAGAAGCUGAGGAUGAUCAUAUUUCUUCACUGUGCACAUGUAAGUGUGGUCAAGUAUGAUGUCAAGUCUACCUCAGAACAUAUCUUGCUAUUUUGGCCUCAGAAUUGUGUGGAAAAUAAUCUGCUAUUGGCAAAUGCAUGUAGAACAGUGUUGAAAAAAUAAUGGGAAGUGGUGAUUUUUUACAGUUGAAAAGAAAAAUCUCUUCAGAAGAGAAAAAAUGUGAUAUAUUAGCAUAAUAGUGUCAUCAAAGAUCAAGUGUUAUAGUAUUUUAUAUUUUUACACUGCUGUUCCAUAAACAUAAAACAAUAGCAGGUUAAUAUAUCAAAUGUAUACAUAAAGUCUUCCCACUGUGCAUAACUGUUCCAUAUAUUACUGUUAUAUCUUCUGAGAUUAAGUAAACACAGAAUGUAAUGUACUGUACAUAAAUAUAGCACUACUGAAUCAUAAUAAAAACUUAAAAAUACCUUUUUACCAUGAGAACUGUGCCAGAAUCUCUCAGUGAAAAUACUGGUUAGCUGAAAUGAGAAGGCUUUUUUCUUUUACCAGAAAUAUACCAAUUUCAGCAAAAUUUCAGUUUCAAGAAGGAUUUUCUUGUUAAGCCUGGAUAGAACCUAUGAUAGGCAACCAGACAAUGGAUGUCUGUGAACCAAGAGGGAACAAAGACUUCUGGAAAAGCACACCCCGCUAUGCCAGCUCUGGCAGGUCCGCCCAUGCAGCAGGCAGCUGAAUGUCAGAGCCAAUUGCUAAUCCACCAAAGUGACAAUGAAGAGUUCAGGGCUGCAUGGGCUGAAGACAACAUAAAAGAGAAAAACAUGAAGCCACUAUAUUCACUUCUGUGGUCUUGUGUGAGUUCACCAUAUUACCUUCUUACCCUGCAUUCAUUUCAUUAUCAAGCAAUCACCUGAAGCAUAAUUUCUUCGCUUGUUCUCUUGAUAGAACAUUUUACUUUCUUUAGAAUGUUUGACUCUAUUUGCAGAGGCAGGCUAAAUAAACAUUUUAUUUGUGCUAUGAAAUGAGUGAAGUGAGCUCCUGCAAGGAGGCUGCUUUGUUGAGUCAAAUUUAUACUCUCAUUUUGAGUGUUGAGCUUAUACCAUUCUUCACUUCACAGGAAAAGAUACACUUUACGCUAAUGCACAGUAAUCUCUGUACAAUCCCAACUCACUUUCUCUGCUUUCAGCCACGCCCUAGUGGGAAAUUUCUCUGAGAAAUUAACAUGGGAAUUGUCUCUUAGCUGCAUUUUCAAAUAUAUUUAUCGGUUAAAUUUUUUUUUGUAGCAUUAUGACAAAGAGAUUUUACUAAUUAACACUAAUAGAUCUGUGAUAACAGAUAAAAGACAGACACCGGAAACUUCUACAUGUGGACCAUUUACUUUUCUGGCACAUUUUGAACAUGAAAUAAGUUAAAUUACUGUUGUUUUCAAAACACAUUAUAAAUUGGAAAAGUGAUGAGUGAAAAAAAUAAGGCAUUCACCAAGUAUUAACUAUUAAGACUGAAGUCAGUUAUAGAUGGUCUCACACUGUUUUUAUUUUCUGUGAUCAGUAUAAUAGAGUGGUUGUAUAUAAUAGAUAAUGCCAGCUAUUUCAGUAUGGGUGUCUUGCAAAAGCUAAAUAAAUAAAAAGUGACUUAGCUUUUAUUUACCUUGCAGCAGGUGAGAAAAUAAGGUGACAGUGAAAUAAAUUAUUUUUUCCUGCCAGCUAAGCAUGUCGUCAAUCCUUCUUACUAAAGUAAUGAAGCAAGGAAACAAUAUUUUGUUUUCUUUUCACUGGGUGGUGGAGUUUUACAUCAAAAAGGAAGAUAACACUUCAAAUUUGAGAAUAGCUGUGGCGUGGUAUUACCGUCUGCCUCUUAAGUCAUGAUCUGCUUUCUGUUUUAAAAUAAUCUGAAAUGGCCCUAGACUAUCCUGUCAUGACUAUUGCCUCAUAGGAAUUGCUUGCAUAGCAUGUAAAGAACACAUAUGGACAAUUUAUUUGGGUCUCAGUGUCACUCUGCUGUGGAAAUAUUAUUUACGUACUGCACAGGAUUUCUUAAAGGAAAUGCUUGUGUCUUCUGUCCAUAAUCAGAUGCUCAGAAUUUCUUGUAAAAGUGGGACUGUCGAGAGCUAGUGCAAAAGAAAAAAAAAAAAAUCCUUAUUUAUUUCCUUGUAAUUCAUUCUUUCACUUGAGAGUCCAGGCUUCAGUUUAAAUUUCAGGGAUGCCAUUCAGAGUAAAGUAUUCGUAGAAUUUUAAAAAUGGCCUUUUAUAAAGGCAGCAGUGGAAAUGGUGAUCUGUUAUUUACUUUCCCUGGCAAAAUUGCAGGGUGGCUUUUCUCCAUGGGCCCUUUGAUAUUAGACUAUUAAAUCCACUUUCACUACCAGUCCAGGACUUCUGAAAACUUCUAGACUACGUACAUAUGACAGCUUUGAGAAGCAGUGGGAGGAAAGUGAAAGACGGUGUAAAACUGAAUUCUGUGGCAACUGGGCAAAUUGCCAGUAAAUUCAAUGAAGCUUUUCAUUAAAUUUAGUGUGUUUUACAUUAAAGCUGAAUUUGGCCCACUGUCUACAGCUAUUAAAGUUAUACAGCUUUACAAAGUUACAUGAAAUUUUACGUACUUGAAAAAAUUCAGUAUAAUGUUGAAUCUAUUUUAAACCCACUUGAAAAAUACUUUUAAAUUAUCCUGUUAGGGAUUCAUAUGGUGUGUGGCUUCUCUCUUUAUUUUCUGUCUGAAUGGAUCAGAUGAAGCACAUGGUGAUUGGUUCCCAGAGUUUUCUGUAUACACUUGGCAGCAUCAAAUGAAAAUAUGUAUACAUUUGUUUAUAAGAAAAUUCUUCUGUUGUUGUGAGAUUUUUUUUAUAACUGUCGUAGAGUGAUAGAUAAUUAAGAUUUUUCUCUUUCCCGCUUUAAUUUUGUCUUGGGUUGAUGUUAUAAUAAUGACCAGCUUCUUUCAUCAGUAAAUGUUCAGGAGUUAAAGAUUUUAGGACCUCUAUAAAGAAAAUACAUAAUUUAAUGUCUUAAAGGAUGUGGAAAAAUGACAUUCUUUCCUGCCCAUCCUAAGGAGGUAUGAAUAGAGAAUUUCAAAGAAGACAGAUCAAAUAAAACAACGAGACCCGCUUGCAGGAUUGCAUCCCUAUUUAGGAUGCAUGUUUCUAGUUUUGCAACUCCUGGAUAAGCAAUAGAAGAUGUUGCAGACAGGGAGUGUUAUUAGUGGUUGGUUUUUUAUGGUAGGUCUUUGGGAAUAGUCUGGACAGGAAAUCACAUGGUAAUGUGUAAGGGGAUACAGGGAAGAGAUCAAAGCUAAAAUUUCCCCUUUGCAUGCAAAUAGCAGCAAGUUUGGCAGUAUAUAUUUUGCUUGGUUGAGAAAGUUAUGUUCAUUAGCUCCUAAUUUGGGACCAAGAGGGUACUACAGGUCCCUUGGUACAGAAGAGAAAGUUAUAUUCACUGAUAUUAGAUCAUUGCUGUAUCCUGUAGAUUCAUUCAGGGAUGCCAGUUUUUAGCAUUGCCAAGUUAAUUUCUAUUAACAGCACAUCUGUAAGAUGAAGAACAUUAGCAGGAUUUGGCUCAUAACCAGACAGGUACUGAGUUAUCCCAAAAUACAAGAAGAGUUGGCAGUUACUUAGGGUGGAAGUCAGCACACAAUGCUCAAAACACUGCUCAGGGGGAGUUCAGCUGGUUUACUUUGAAAGGACCCCCCCACCUCCUACCUCACUGGGGUUUUUUUUGUGUGUAACAAGGUGGUUAGUCCUGCAUGAGGCAGCUGUUUUUCCAGCAGCAUUCACAAUCUACAACCCCAACAGCAAAAGCAACAAUGUUUUGUGUAAGUCUGCUCCCUUUCCCUGUCAUAAGUUCUUUCUCUCCAUGUUUUGGUCAAACUCCAAUUAUUUUCUUUUUAAAAUAAAAUUUUAAAAUAUAUCCAGUUACUUAAUUUUCUCUUGAAAUUAAUUUCCAUUCUGUUCAUUUCAAGCACACCUUUUUAUUGCUGGCCUUGCUGACAAUAAAGUGACUUUUGUCCUAUAUUGGUUAUGCUGCAUCAAAGCCCUUCUCAGGCUUAAAACUUCCCUCUAGCAAUUACUCACUAUUUUAAUUUAUCCCUGAUUAUUUAACUAAUAAUUCAAUGACUUCAAAAACUUAAGAAGAGACAGGCAAGAAUGUACAAUUCUUGAUGGUUUUUAUUUUUUUGUUCCUCUGUCACCACAGAGGGUGUCCCUUAAUUAUGUAUUUAAAUUAUUGAUGUUUCUUGAUUGUAGAGAAGACUAUCAUCUGAGUGCCUUUUGUUUGAAUUUCUAUCAUUUUACUCUGCCAAAACUAUAUAGAAAAAUAUGGCACUUAUUGUAGUUUACUGUAUGUUGUCAGUAAACUCGCCGAAACAAAUGAAGUAGGACUGCAUCUUUCAGUGACACAAAAUGCAUUUGAAAGAAGAAAAAGAAAUUACACAAUGACAGGAGGAACUGUGAGCCAAUAGGAAUAUAAAAUGUAUUCACCUUCUUGUUAUCUCCCAGCAUUCAGAUGAUCAUAACAGUUUAGAAAGCAUACUGCCCACACCACAGGAUCUUGCUCCUCUUUAAUUUUCUCUAAUUUGUGUAGUGAAUAACCAAAUACUCAUAAUGCAAUUAGAAGAUAAUCAGGCUUGUAAUUAUGUUAAUUGCUGGAGACUUACAUCAAUCCUCCAGCAAAGUGAUAGGAUUUCAGGGGAACUAUUAACAUGGGAAGAGAGAGGAAGCACACAUGAGAGAGAAAGAGAUUGGGGGAGUGGGUAAAUUGAUGAACAGCUUAGGCUUGUAUCAUUGAACAACAAUGAGAAUACAAUGGUGAAACAAAUGAAAAGGGCCUCAAGGGGAGAAGCUCAGAAAAUGAGGUUUUAGGUACCAGCAACUCAACCUCUUUUGUCUGUUUUCUUCCCAUAAAUAAUCAUGUUGUGCAUCUGUAUUUAUUGUAAUAAGCCCAAUUCAGAGAAAUCGGAUCCAUAGCUGAACAGAGAACAAAGGGGAACUGUUCAGCUAUGCAGCAGUUUGCCAUGUCUCCCACACCACUGAAAGAGCCACUGUAUUACCUUCUGUCCUCGACUCCUGGGGGUAUUCUUUUCUCAUGGUGAUGUCCGAUAUUACAUUUAAAGCCAUAAUACUGCAACUGCAAUGGGCUGUCUCAGAAAUGUCAUGGAUCAGUCAUAAUCUCUGAAGAACAUACAAUACAGAGUGGACUGACAGAAUUUAUGAAGUAAUCCACAGUGGAAAUGUUUUUUGGUGUUUUUAUUUACCUUUUUGUCAGUACCUCAUCGGGGUUGUAAUGAUUGUUUAAGCCUUUUGAAAGUGAGUUUUGUCAGAUGUAGUCUGAUACAAACUGUAGAUGAUGACUGUACUCUAUUAGGGUGGCUAUUU